rnacentral:rRNA from 1 species
UACGUAGGGUGCAAGCGUUAAUCGGAAUUACUGGGCGUAAAGGGUGCGCAGGCGGUUUUUUAAGUCAGAUGUGAAAUCCCCGGGCUCAACCUGGGAAUGGCAUUUGAGACUGGAAGGCUAGAGUGUGUCAGAGGGGGGUAGAAUUCCACGUGUAGCAGUGAAAUGCGUAGAUAUGUGGAGGAAUACCGAUGGCGAAGGCAGCCCCCUGGGAUAACACUGACGCUCAGGCACGAAAGCGUGGGGAGCAAACAGG